CUCUAUGGUGGAACGGAGGGGGACACCCUUGGGUGUGCUGGAGUCUUAAGGCCAGUCCGCGAACCCCCUUCGUUCUGCCACCAUA
rnacentral:antisense_RNA from 1 species